CAAAUCCAAACCCAUAUCCCAUCAUUUAGCAAUGUCGGUGAUAUUUAUCACGUUCAUAUCCGGCGAAGAGUUGAAAUCGAGUAAAUGGACUAGUAUCAGAACGAUUUCUUGAGCUACUGCAAUCAAUACAUUCUUGUCAAGAUAACAACCCAAGAUACGAGUCCAAUAUCGAGUUCUUCGACUCAGUCGUUUUGAUCUGAAACCGAGUCCAAUAUCGAGUUCUUCGACUCAGUCGUUUCGAU
rnacentral:lncRNA from 1 species